rnacentral:rRNA from 1 species
GCAAGCGUUACUCGGAAUCACUGGGCGUAAAGAGCAUGUAGGCGGGUGAAUAAGUUGGAAGUGAAAUCCUAUAGCUUAACUAUAGAACUGCUUCCAAAACUGUUCACCUAGAGUAUGGGAGAGGUAGAUGGAAUUUCUGGUGUAGGGGUAAAAUCCGUAGAGAUCAGAAGGAAUACCGAUUGCGAAGGCGAUCUACUGGAACAUUACUGACGCUCAGAUGCGAAAGCGUGGGGAGCAAACAGGAUUAGAUACCCUGGUAGUCCACGCCCUAAACGAUGUACACUAGUUGUUGCUAUACUAGAUAUGGCAGUAAUGCAGUUAACACUUUAAGUGUACCGCCUGGGGAGUACGGUCGCAAGAUUAAAACUCAAAGGAAUAGACGGGGACCCGCACAAGCGGUGGAGCAUGUGGUUUAAUUCGACGAUGCGCGAAAAACCUUACCUGGCCUUGACAUAGUAGGAAUCUUUAAGAGAUUAGAGAGUGCUAGCUUGCUAGAACCUACAUACAGGUGCUGCACGGCUGUCGUCAGC